rnacentral:rRNA from 1 species
CCUACGGGAGGCAGCAGUGAGGAAUAUUGGUCAAUGGCCGGGAGGCUGAACCAGCCAAGUCGCGUGAGGGAAGACGGCCCUACGGGUUGUAAACCUCUUUUGUCAGGGAGCAAGGUGCAGGUCGGGACCUGCUGUGAGAGUACCUGAAGAAAAAGCAUCGGCUAACUCCGUGCCGGCAGCCGCGGUAGUACGGAGGAUGCGAGCGUUCCCCGGAUUGAUUGGGUUUAAAGGGUGCGCAGGCGGAGGCACAAGUCAGCGGUAAAAUCGCGGGGCUCAACCCCGCUCCGCCGUUGAAACUGUGUACCUUGAGUGCGCGAAGGGUAGGCGGAAUGCGUGGUGUAGCGGUGAAAUGCAUAGAUAUCACGCAGAACUCCGAUCGCGAAGGCAGCCUACCGGCGCGCAACUGACGCUCAUGCACGAAAGCGUGGGUAUCGAACAGGAUUAGAUACCCUUGUAGUC